rnacentral:rRNA from 1 species
UACGUAGGGCGCGAGCGUUGUCCGGAAUUAUUGGGCGUAAAGGGAGUGUAGGCUGUGAGGUAAGUCUUCUGUGAAAUCUACGGGCUUAGCCUGUAAAGUGCAGAGGAAACUGCUUCGCUUGAGUGUCGGAGAGGAUAGGGGAAUACCCAGUGUAGAGGUGAAAUUCGUAGAGAUUGGGUGGAACACCAGUGGCGAAGGCGCCUAUCUGGCUGACAACUGACGUGAGACUCGAAAAGCAUGGGGGAGCAAACAGGAAUUAGAAAACCCCCAGUUAGGUCCAAGACCAAAGUCCUCU